AAUAAAUAAGAUGGAUCCCAUGACCGCAUAGGAGUGCGAUAACAGGCUUCAUGAGCUUGGUGAAGCACCAAGGCGUUUAAGAGAGACCAAAGGGAAGGCAGCGAAACCGCCAUAUACUUCCUUGCCACGUGAAUUGCAUGAAAUUGUGAUGAAUGUCUGCAAUGGUUACAUGAUGUAGGCAUCCCUUAGGUGUAGUUUGACCAUCC